UCCGGUAUGGUGUAGCGGUUAUCAUACUGCUCUCUCAAAAUUGGCGCAGCAGGGAUCUGGGUUCGACUCCCAGUACCGGAA